rnacentral:misc_RNA from 1 species
GAUGAAGAACGCAGCGAAAUGCGAUAAGUAAUGUGAAUUGCAGAAUCCAGUGAAUCAUCGAAUCUUUGAACGCACAUUGCGCCCGCCAGCAUUCUGGCGGGCAUGCCUGUUCGAGCGUCAUUUCAACCCUCGACCUCCCUCUGGGGAAGUCCGUGUUGGGGACCGGCAGCACACCGCCGGCCCUGAAAUGGAGUGGCGGCCCGUCCGCGGCGACCUCUGCGUAGUAAACCAACUCGCACCGGAACCCCGACGUGGCCACGCCGUAAAACACCCAACUUCUGAACGUUGACCUCGAAUCAGGUAGGACUACCCGCUGAACUUAAGCAUAUCAAUAAGCGGAGGA